GACGAACGCUGGCGGCGUGCCUAAUACAUGCAAGUUGAGCGCUGAAGGUUGGUACUUGUACCAACUGGAUGAGCAGCGAACGGGUGAGUAACGCGUGGGGAAUCUGCCUUUGAGCGGGGGACAACAUUUGGAAACGAAUGCUAAUACCGCAUAAAAACUUUAAACACAAGUUUUAAGUUUGAAAGAUGCAAUUGCAUCACUCAAAGAUGAUCCCGCGUUGUAUUAGCUAGUUGGUGAGGUAAAGGCUCACCAAGGCGAUGAUACAUAGCCGACCUGAGAGGGUGAUCGGCCACAUUGGGACUGAGACACGGCCCAAACUCCUACGGGAGGGCAGCAGUAGGGAAUCUUCGGCAAUGGGACGAAAGUCUGACCGAGCAAACGCCGCGUGAGUGAAAGAAAGGUUUUUCGGAUUCGUAAAAACU
rnacentral:rRNA from 1 species